UACGGAGGGAGCUAGCGUUGUUCGGAAUUACUGGGCGUAAAGCGCGCGUAGGCGGCUUUGUAAGUUAGAGGUGAAAGCCCGGGGCUCAACCCCGGAAUUGCCUUUAAGACUGCAUCGCUUGAAUCCGGGAGAGGUGAGUGGAAUUCCGAGUGUAGAGGUGAAAUUCGUAGAUAUUCGGAAGAACACCAGUGGCGAAGGCGGCUGACUGGUCCGGUUCUGACGCUGAGGCGCGAAAGCGUGGGGAGCAAACAGG
rnacentral:rRNA from 1 species